rnacentral:rRNA from 1 species
UGAACCUUUACUAUAGCUUGACACUGAACAUUGAGCCUUGAUGUGUAGGAUAGGUGGGAGGCUUUGAAGUGUGGACGCCAGUCUGCAUGGAGCCGACCUUGAAAUACCACCCUUUAAUGUUUGAUGUUCUAACGUGGAUCCGUAAUCCGGGUUGCGGACAGUGUCUGGUGGGUAGUUUGACUGGGGCGGUCUCCUCCUAAAGAGUAACGGAGGAGCACGAAGGUUGGCUAAUCCUGGUCGGACAUCAGGAGGUUAGUGCAAUGGCAUAAGCCAGCUUGACUGCGAGCGUGACGGCGCGAGCAGGUGCGAAAGCAGGUCAUAGUGAUCCGGUGGUUCUGAAUGGAAGGGCCAUCGCUCAACGGAUAAAAGGUACUCCGGGGAUAACAGGCUGAUACCGCCCAAGAGUUCAUAUCGACGGCGGUGUUUGGCACCUCGAUGUCGGCUCAUCACAUCCUGGGGCUGAAGUAGGUCCCAAGGGUAUGGCUGUUCGCCAUUUAAAGUGGUACGCGAGCUGGGUUUAGAACGUCGUGAGACAGUUCGGUCCCUAUCUGCCGUGGGCGCUGGAGAACUGAGGGGGGCUGCUCCUAGUACGAGAGGACCGGAGUGGACGCAUCACUGGUGUUCGGGUUGUCAUGCCAAUGGCACUGCCCGGUAGCUAAAUGCGGAAGAGAUAAGUGCUGAAAGCAUCUAAGCACGAAACUUGCCCCGAGAUGAGUUCUCCCUGAGACUUAAAGUCUCCUGAAGGAACGUUGAAGACGACGACGUUGAUAGGCCGGGUGUGUAAGCGCAGCGAUGCGUUGAGCUAACCGGUACUAAUGAACCGUGAGGCUUAACCUU